AGAGUUUGAUCCUGGCUCAGAUUGAACGCUGGCGGCAUGCUUUACACAUGCAAGUCGAACGGCAGCACAGGGAGCUUGCUCCCGGGUGGCGAGUGGCGCACGGGUGAGUAAUACAUCGGAACGUGUCCUGUUGUGGGGGAUAACUGCUCGAAAGGGUGGCUAAUACCGCAUGAGACCUGAGGGUGAAAGCGGGGAUCGCAAGACCUCGCGCAAUUGGAGCGGCCGAUGCCCGAUUAGCUAGUUGGUGAGGUAAAGGCUCACCAAGGCGACGAUCGGUAGCUGGUCUGAGAGGACGACCAGCCACACUGGGACUGGAGACCACGGCCCAGACCUCCGUACGGGAGGCCA
rnacentral:rRNA from 1 species